AACGUAGGCACCGAGCGUUAUCCGGAUUUACUGGGCGUAAAGCGCGUUCAGGCGGUUAGGGAAGUUGGGCAUGAAAUCGCUCGGCUCAACCGGGCGAGGUUGUCCGAAACUCCCUGACUAGAGGGCAGUAGAGGGGGGUGGAAUUCCGCGUGUAGUGGUGAAAUGCGUAGAGAUGCGGAGGAACACCAGUGGCGAAAGCGGCCCCCUGGGCUGCCCCUGACGCUGUCACGCGAAAGCUAGGGGAGCGAACGGG
rnacentral:rRNA from 1 species